UGCCCAAACCAUGCAGAGCCGCAGUAUAAGGACUAAAGAGCCGCAUGCGGCUCCGGAGCCGCAGGUUGCCGACCCCUGGUGUAGUUAGACCAGCCGCUAGCUUGCUGGCUAGCAGAGUUGUUGUUUGCUAAUUUGUUAGCUGCCAGCUUUCUGUGACCGUGUAAACACAGCAGUUGCAACGCUAAUACCUGUUAGGGGGCCCGCAACGACAGCUGCCACUGAUGCAUUUGCCUUAAUGUGAAAUUAAGUAUGCAACUUAAGAGCUAAUAGGCGACCUGUUCCACUCUAGCUCGUGCGCACCAAGAUGUGCUGCGUGAUGAAGUGAGGGAAAUAGAAGUAGCCCACUGUGCUAGCUUUGCCCUGUAAAAUGUAAUGGACAUGUAAAGGAUAAGACAAGUAUUUUUAUUUUAUUUUGUGGAGAGCCAGUAGACUAAAGCAGCUGAGAUUAGUGGCGAGUUCUCAAAUUUAUUCAGUAAGCUGCAAAGAAAAGAAAAGGGCCUACAGCAAAAGUUUGGACACCUUGCAGUUGACCGGGGGGCCCAAACUGCAUGCCAGUGAAAUUCUACUUUGGCAGCCGAGCACUUCAUGUUAUCUGUGGAACAGGCUAUUGUGAAUGGCCAUAUCACCAUCUUCAGUGGCGCACUUAUCCUGAUGUUUGGCUCUUACUACUGCAUGAACAUUUCUUAUCCAGUAGCCCAAGCAGCAACCUUGGAAUUCUUGCAACAGUAAGGCGGCACCAGUCAAUUUUAUGCAUUGAAACAUAAGAAUGAUGAGUCAGUGAAAUCUAAAGUUAUGCAAUCCAAAUCAAAUCAUCAGAUCUCCUUUCAUUUGCAGCUAAAACGCAUAAGACUGAGCAAUGCUUGAGUGUUGAGAUGAUUUGUAGAUUGAUAAAUGAACAAAUAAUUAAUAUUUGAGUUUCAGAUGUCUGUCUGAAAUAUCCUUGAUUCAUGCUCAUGUCAAGUUAUAGAAAGAGACCUUUGAGUAGUAGAUGUUCACAGAUGUUUCACUACCCUGAAACAGUAUUUGCAAGACUCACAGGUAGAGCUGGGCGAUAGAACGAUAACGAUAUGUAUUGCGAAAUAACUUUUUCUCGAUAGAAAAAUUAAA